AUUGAACGCUGGCGGCAUGCCUUACACAUGCAAGUCGAACGGUAACAGGUCUUCGGAUGCUGACGAGUGGCGAACGGGUGAGUAAUACAUCGGAACGUGCCCGAGAGUGGGGGAUAACGAGGCGAAAGCUUUGCUAAUACCGCAUACGAUCUCAGGAUGAAAGCAGGGGACCGCAAGGCCUUGCGCUCACGGAGCGGCCGAUGGCAGAUUAGGGAGUUGGUGGGAUAAAAGCUUACCAAGCCGACGAUCUGUAGCUGGUCUGAGAGGACGACCAGCCACACUGGGACUGAGACACGGCCCAGACUCCUACGGGCGGCAGCAGUGGGGAAUUUUGGACAAGGGGCGCAAGCCUGAUCCAGCCAUGCCGCGUGCAGGAUGAAGGCCUUCGGGUUGUAAACUGCUUUUGUACGGAACGAAAAGACUCUGGUUAAUACCUGGGGUCCAUGACGGUACCGUAAGAAUAAGCACCGGCUAACUACGUGCCAGCCGCCGCAGUAAAAC
rnacentral:rRNA from 1 species